CACGUAGGGGGGCGAGCGUUUGUCCGGAUUUAUUGGGCGUAAAGAGCUCGUAGGCGGCUCGGUAAGUCAGGUGUGAAACCUCCAGGCUCAACCUGGAGACGCCACCUGAUACUGCCGUGGCUAGAGUCCGGUAGAGGAGCGUAGAAUUCCUGGUGUAGCGGUGAAAUGCGCAGAUAUCAGGAGGAAUACCAGCGGCGAAGGCGGCGCUCUGGGCCGGUACUGACGCUGAGGAGCGAAAGCGUGGGGAGCAAACAGG
rnacentral:rRNA from 1 species